UUGCAGAUUGCAGCAUGUAGCAUGCCAGAAGACUUAAGUUAGUGGGUUAUGAAGCAUUACGACCUCGAAAUUUCCCAACUUGUCAUCAUAGAGAGGGGCAAGAUUCCAGUAGAUGCAGCAAGUGUUCACAGGAUAUGGGGUCUACCAAACAGGGGGAGGAAGGUUUGCUACGAGAAUAGAGCAGAUUACUCAUCCAAAAUGUACAAAAUCUUCAAGAUCAAUACGAAAGGCUCACCAACACUAACAUCUUGGUAA
rnacentral:rRNA from 1 species